ACCGGAGGAAGGUGGGGACGACGUCAAGUCAUCAUGGCCCUUACGAGUAGGGCUACACACGUGCUACAAUGGCGCAUACAGAGGGCAGCCAACUUGCGAAAGUGAGCGAAUCCCAAAAAGUGCGUCGUAGUCCGGAUUGGAGUCUGCAACUCGACUCCAUGAAGUCGGAAUCGCUAGUAAUCGUGGAUCAGAAUGCCACGG
rnacentral:rRNA from 1 species